rnacentral:rRNA from 1 species
UACGUAGGGCGCAAGCGUUAUCCGGAAUUAUUGGGCGUAAAGAGCUCGUAGGCGGUUUGUCGCGUCUGCCGUGAAAGUCCGGGGCUUAACUCCGGAUCUGCGGUGGGUACGGGCAGACUAGAGUGCAGUAGGGGAGACUGGAAUUCCUGGUGUAGCGGUGAAAUGCGCAGAUAUCAGGAGGAACACCGAUGGCGAAGGCAGGUCUCUGGGCUGUAACUGACGCUGAGGAGCGAAAGCAUAGGGAGCGAACAGG